ensembl:lncRNA
AUGAGUGUGCAUAUUGACAGUGACGGGGGCGUGUGUCUGUCUGUGUGCCAUAUAUUAAAACAAAAAGGAGAGAGACGGAGACAGAGAGAGACAGAGACAGAGGAGGAAAUAUUGGGAUGGGAAAGAACAGUUUGUUUACAUUACGUGAGAUGUGAUUGCAGACAGCGUGCGGCUGGGCUGCGGUGGAACUGGCCAGUGGCAACCUGCCUUUGCUCUGCUGGCUCCCGCCGGAGCGGCUGUGCCACGGGGACACUGAACCUGGGAGCAGCUGCCUGCAGUGGACCUUCACGAGCAGGAAUGCAGGACCUCCAGCAGGAGAGCGGGGAGGCAUCAGCGAGGUAAGCGGCGCAAUCACUGUGGAUAUGCUUGAUCUGAGAGCGGAGACCCCGAGCCAGAUGAUGCAUGCAGGGCAGCGUGACACAGGUGAGGGUCCCUGCCCAGCCUCAUGGGCCGGCGUGUCGGAGAUGGGUUGCUCACCUGUGUGAGCUGUUGCAGAAUUAGAAGUUAGGUUGCAUCCGUGUUCUUUGAGUUGUUUUCCCUUCUCACCGUUCCUUAAAUGUCAGAUGUACGAGCUUGCAGAACUGUACUUUUUGACUGACAGAGUGCUUCCUCCAGCACAGGCUGAGUGCAGGUGUGUGAAUUGCUGUGCUGCUUCAGGGAUAGGAUUCCCAUCCUUCCUGCAAGGGUGAGCAAGAGGCUUCCGAGGCUGCAGCCAGUACGUUGUGCUGGAUGGGUAGGAUCAGGACAUGAUAGUAGUUGUUAAAAGCCUGUGGGAUUACUUGCAUGUGUAAAGUCUUGCAGAUGGUUGUCGGUGUUGCUGUGGCUAUGCUACUGAACAGCAUUUAAAAAAAAUCUUGAAAGUUAAUUUCCAAUAGAUCUUAUACUGCUUUGCAUUACACUUCAUAUUCUGUGUGCACAAACUUUAUUACUUAAUAUUGAAUUGGAAGACCUCAGUAAUAUGCUUGCUGCAUUUUUUAUAAAUCUUUCAUUAAAAGUUAAACACCUAGGAAUUCCUUCCAGAGUAUUGGCCUGACUCUUUAUUUUUAUUUAGCAGAAAGAUGAAUGUCAGAGCAGUGAUUUGUUUUAUAAUGAAUUACAUUUAACUUUCACAGAAUAAGAAAUCAGGGUGUUGCUGUAAAGCAACAUACUGUCAAAAAGUCCUUCUGGAGGACUACAAUGACUCUCUGAGGGCUUAAAUUUACACAACUACAACCAUUAUAAAUGGAUCCAGUUCACAUAUUUUUGUUAGGAAGUUAUAUUUUUGUUAAGAGCACCAAAAUAAUGGUGGUUUUGUUAUUAGGGGUUGGUUUAACUUGCAUGAACAGGUCCUUCAAGGAUUACUGUCUCCUUCCUUCACCUGCCAGUCCAGAAGAGGGAGGCAAGAGAGUCAGGUCUGCACCCAGGACUCUUCAUGGUCUGUGGCAUACACUGUACUGGAUCAGACGAUGAUGGAUUUUUUUCCUUUGCUUUUUUUUUUUCUUUCUUUUCAUUUCCUCUGCUUGAAUCCACCUCUCCCUGACCACCUGAGAAGAGAUAAAAUAGCUCUUUGAAGGCUUUUGCUUGCAUGCCAACAGCAGUAGUGCUGGGAAUUGGGCUGAAGGGCAGAAGGGCUUCCAGAACUGUUUGGUCUUGAGCAGACUAGUAAAAUUUCCUAUUCUUUCAUGCAGCUGUAAAGCAUUAAAAUGAUAAUGAAUGUGCCAUCUGUAUUCCAUAUUCAGUUUAUCUCUUCACUUUUCAUCAAGGAAGAUUUCAUAUUGCAUCUGUCAAGGUAGGGAAGUCCAAGGAAUUGCAGUUCAGAAAUUAAGGACCCUGAGGUAGCAGCUCACUUCUGCCUCGUCUUUUCAUUUACACUUUAAACAGCCUUCAGAGAGAUGGGUUGCUGCUUCUGGGACCCAGCAAAGAAAGUGAGGAAUAGAUAAAAGCUAAACUUGUGGUGGAGUGACCUAAAUGGAACAGCUGGCAAAAGUAUAGAGGGGAUCCUCCAGGGUACUGAAUUAUACCUUCAGGCUUGGAUUAGUGGGAUGUUUAACAAAGAGAUCCAUUUGCCAAAAGGAUCUCUGGCUGAUUUUUAAUUAUGGAACUAGCACUUCCUUCAACAUUUGCAAAUUAUUGAGGGUUUUUUUUCCUCAUGUAAAGUGUAGAGUACUAAUUGUUGGCUUUUGGCUCUUGCUUUUGCUUUUCUCAAACUAAAUUUUUUUGCAUGUUCUUGAAUUAACCAUAUGAAUACCUGCAAAAUGAAGCAUUUAAACAGUUUUUAUGUUAUGAAUAAUGAGUUGCAUGCUCUGUGGAGAAAAUAAAUGACUUCAAAUAUUUAUUAUUUUGCUUAUA